rnacentral:rRNA from 1 species
CGCGUGCAGGAAGACGGCCUCUGGGUUGUAAACUGCUUUUAUCUGGGAAGAAAAAGUCCAUGCGUGGAAAAUUGCCGGUACCAGAUGAAUAAGCACCGGCUAACUCCGUGCCAGCAGCCGCGGUAAUACGGAGGGUGCAAGCGUUGUCCGGAUUUAUUGGGUUUAAAGGGUGCGUAGGCGGCUGAAUAAGUCAGCGGUGAAAGACUUCGGCUUAACCGGAGCAGUGCCGUUGAUACUGUUUAGCUUGAGUGUUGGAGGGGUACAUGGAAUUGAUGGUGUAGCGGUGAAAUGCAUAGAUACCAUCAGGAACACCGAUAGCGAAGGCAUUGUACUGGCCAAUAACUGACGCUGAGGCACGAAAGUGUGGGGAUCGAACAGGAUUAGAUACCCUGGUAGUCCACACUGUAAACGAUGAUUACUCGCUGUUAUGCUGUAUAGUGUAGCGGCCAAGCGAAAGCGUU